UCGUUUUCCGCCAGACGCGGCCUCAUGACUGACAGCAUCUGGCCGAAGCCGGUGCCCUCCACCUCUCCGCCCUGGGCCUCCUUGUCUCCCCACUAGCCGGUCCAGGGAGCGAGAGCACAGGUGCGCAGAGCAGUCCGGAGGGAAACAGGCCGGAAGCUAAGAGUGCCUGAGAUGGCACAGGGCCGUCGAGGACGGGACUCACCCCAGCCAGAGCUGAUUCUUCCUGCAGCCACUGGGCGGGGGCUCCAGGUGGCAUGUAUAUACCAGUCAUCCCCCUCACCCUGGGGGGUUCUCUUGUCCCCGGAAACUGCCCUGAAAUUCCCUCCCCAGCCCCAGUCCCUCUCCUCCCUUCCCUUCCGAACACGAGAGCAUUGAACUUCUCCAAACCCUGCCUUCCUCCUCCAGGAAGCCUUCCAGCCAGAGAAGAGGUUCUUCAUCCAUGAAGUCAGCGGUUUGCGUUAGAAGCAGGAUGCCAAACGGUGCUGCUUGGAGCGCAUUUGGAAGGAUUGUGAGUGGUACCUCCUUCUUCUUGCCUCGAAUGCAGAUGUGAUGAAGGAAUCAUGACAACCUUCUUGUGACCAUGAGGUGAUCAACAUGAUGAUGAAAAAACAGCAUGCUCAGGAGGGAAGUGUAGAAAUACAGGAAAAGUCUGGUCCCUACGGGCCUCUUUAAGCAGCCGAACCAAAUACCGGCAGCCCUAAUCUCUGACCUUCUUGAAAUGUAAAAAACAAA